ACGGGGUGCAGCAGGCGCGAAACCUCCGCAAUGCACGCAAGUGUGACGGGGGGAUCCCAAGUGUUCUUACUUAGGUAAGAACUUUUCUCACGUGUAAAUAGCUUGAGGAAUAAGGGCUGGGUAAGACGGGUGCCAGCCGCCGCGGUAAUACCCGCAGCUCAAGUGGUUUGGACUUUUAUUGGGUCUAAAGCGUUCGUAGCUGGGUCUAUAAGUUCUCUGUGAAAUCUGGCGGCUCAACCGUCAGGCGUGCAGAGGAUACUGUAGAUCUUGGGACCGGAGUGGGCCAAAGGUACUCCUGGGGUAGGGGUGAAAUCCAAUAAUCCUGGGGGGACCACCUAUGGUUAAGACAUUUGGCUAAGACGGGUCCGACAGUGAGGGACGAAAGCUAGGGGAGCGAACGGGAUUAGAUACCCCGGUAGUCCUAGCCGUAAAUGAUGCAAACUAGGUGUUGCAUUCUUUUCGUGAGAAUGCAGUGCCGAAGGAAGCCGUUAAGUUGCCACCUGGAAGUACGUCGCAAG
rnacentral:rRNA from 1 species